rnacentral:lncRNA from 1 species
GCCCUGUCACGCAGGCCUAGAUUUGUGACCCUGCUCAGCCACUUACAAGCUGUGUGACCUUCAGCCAAGUCGCUUAAGCUCUCUGAGACUUGUUUUCCUCCUCUAAGCAUGGGCACAGGAAGCAUACUCACCCUGCUCACCUUGCAGGGCUGUAGUGAGGAUCAGACAGGAUGGAGACGAAGGAGCUUUGGGAAUGAAAAGACCCUGGACAGAGGUGGUAUUGAGAGUGUGGGAGCAGCUUGCAGCCCUCAGGGGGAUGGAGCCCCUCCUCCAGGGAUGUUUAGCGUCAUAACCUGGUGUGCUUUGCUGCCGUGGCCCACCCUCUGGAUUUCCUGCCUCGAACUCACAUGUGGUGUGUGUGAUGUAGAUGGGGAAAAUCUGAAGCACACGCUGGUUGAGAAAUUUGCCCAAGGCCUCACAGCCGGUUCCAGCACUGAUGGUUGCCACGGACAUUAUUUCCUUCAGUUUACGACAGCCCUGAGAAGUCACUGGUCACGGAUAGCGUUGGUUCAUGAGAGCUGAUUGCUAAAUUUCCAGGAAUUUUGAGUCAGUUGUUAAACAUAGCCAUUAUUCAAUAGAUGGAGAUGGAAUCCUGGCUUUGCCACUUACCAGCUAGGUGACCUCGCCACGUGGCAAAAGCUACAAAGGAGUGAGGAGGGUUUGGAAACAGGCCCCUCUAGAGUCAAGUCUCGGCUUCGGUCUGACUAUCUGCGUCAGUUUUCUCGUCUGUAAAUGGGGAGCAGCUGCUGUUGAUAGCAGUAUCUGUUGUAUCUCUCACACGCUUUUGAAGGUUUGCUGAAUACUCACUAUGUGCCGAGCAUUGUUCUAAGCUCCUUGCUGAUAUUUUCUUAUUAAUGUUCCAGCCACUCAAUGAGAGAAGUAUCGUUCUCCCAAUGGGGAAGUGGAGGAAUAGCCUCAGCACA